AUUCCUUGUCGGGUAAGUUCCGACCUGCACGAAUGGCGUAACGAUGGCGGCGCUGUCUCCACCCGAGACUCAGUGAAAUUGAAAUCGCUGUGAAGAUGCAGUGUAUCCGCGGCUAGACGGAAAGACCCCGUGAACCUUUACUAUAGCUUUGCACUGGACUUUGAGCUUGCUUGUGUAGGAUAGGUGGGAGGCUUUGAAGUGGGGACGCCAGUUCUCAUGGAGCCAACCUUGAAAUACCACCCUGGCAACCUUGAGGUUCUAACUCUGGUCCGUUAUCCGGAUCGAGGACAGUGUAUGGUGGGUAGUUUGACUGGGGCGGUCUCCUCCCAAAGAGUAACGGAGGAGUACGAAGGUGCGCUCAGACCGGUCGGAAAUCGGUCGUAGAGUAUAAAGGCAAAAGCGCGCUUGACUGCGAGACAGACACGUCGAGCAGGUACGAAAGUAGGUCUUAGUGAUCCGGUGGUUCUGUAUGGAAGGGCCAUCGCUCAACGGAUAAAAGGUACUCCGGGGAUAACAGGCUGAUACCGCCCAAGAGUUCAUAUCGACGGCGGUGUUUGGCACCUCGAUGUCGGCUCAUCACAUCCUGGGGCUGAAGCCGGUCCCAAGGGUAUGGCUGUUCGCCAUUUAAAGUGGUACGCGAGCUGGGUUUAGAACGUCGUGAGACAGUUCGGUCCCUAUCUGCCGUGGACGUUUGAGAUUUGAGAGGGGCUGACCUUAGUACGAGAGGACCGGGUUGGACGAACCUCUGGUGUUCCGGUUGUCACGCCAGUGGCAUUGCCGGGUAGCUAUGUUCGGAAAAGAUAACCGCUGAAAGCAUCUAAGCGGGAAACUUGCCUCAAGAUGAGAUCUCACUGGAGCCUUGAGCUCCCUGAAGGGCCGUCGAAGACUACGACGUUGAUAGGUGGGGUGUGUAAGCGCUGUGAGGCGUUGAGCUAACCCAUACUAAUUGCCCGUGAGGCUUGACCAU
rnacentral:rRNA from 2 species